ACUAGACCUCGUGUCUGUCCAAGUUUUCGCUAGACAAUUUCGAAAGGACGCGCUUGACAACGAGUUCUAUUCACGCCACUAGGUCACCGAGAAAACUUGCUACGUCGUGUUCGAAAUAGAUCUCGCGGACACGAUUGCAAUACGGUUCAGCCAUCAUGAACUAUGCACUAUGAUGAACAACAUUGUGUACAAAUUCCAGGACUAUAUCCUCGUAGGAAUGUGCAAGAUCCGAGAGCUUUCGUAAAACCGGUUCUUGUCGUAAACGUCAUUUGACACAUUUCCUGUGAAGCAAUAUAUACGACUCAAAUGCAUAUAUACUUUAAAUAAUGUUAUUUUUAAAUUUAUUUUUAUAAAUAAUAAAAAAAUAACUUUAAAUUUAGAUAAGAAAAUAACUUUAACAGAAAUUUUCAUCUAAUUUUUCAAAUAUAUAUGUAUUAAAAAAUUUAUAUGUAUUGUUAUUUAUUAUAAUUAUUAAAACAAUAUUUAAACAAUAAUAAAAGUGAUAUUAUUAAAUUAAAUUUUUUUAUACUGAAAUUAUAUUGAAGUAUUGUGAAAUAGUUAUUAUUUUACUUCUAAACCAAAUUUAUUGUGAUAAAUAUAGCAAAAUAUUAAAUAUAAAUUAAAAAUAUUUCUCUUUUAUAAUAAAAAUAUUUAAUCAGUCAACCAAUUAUUGUUUCUGUAUUAAUAAGUAUAAUAAUAAAUAUAAAUAAUAUUAAAAUAAAUGUAGUAUAUAUAUGUA